AGCUCAAGUCGUUGGAGGAUGGGGAGGUUAAACCUGUUGAGGGUGGAAAUACGACCGGCUUGUGGGUUGAAAAUGUCGGCACGUUCAGGGUCAGCAAGGUUCUCCUUGAUCCUCAUGGAGCAGAAAGUUUCCUCGAGGCCAUUAUCUUGAGACCCUCCUCUCGUAUGGCGGUAUCGCUGCUCCUGCUGGCGCUCCUCACGUUCUUCUUCCUCCAUUCUGGGUGGUGUUACGACUUGGAGUCUGUCCCUGACUCUGAUGAUGGUGCCUCUAUUUCCUCGUACACGUUGGAUUUUCCUAAUGAUGUCGUGGUCAACGUUGAAAGCUUGAGCGAGGAAGUUUCUGUCGAAGGCACAGAGAAGGUUGUUGCAUGAUGAGCUUUCCCGCCCCUGCUCCUCCUCCUCCUGGUGGCGGCUGCGGCGGCUGGGGUUGUCUUCUUCUUCUUCUUCUCCUUCUCCUUCUUCUUCCUCAGACUCCUCCCCCCUCUCACUUCUUCCCUGCAUCUGCUGUGCUAGCCUCCUCAGUUGCCUCUGUUCCUCUUCUGGGUUACCAGCAAGAUGGAAUCUCUAUAACAUUACAAGAGAGAGAUCAUCAAAAACAAAAACAAAAAGUUAUGUAUAGAAAGGGAUUGUCAAAAUUAUAAAAAAUUAUAUACUCUAGGGAUGUUGUCGAGCUGAUUAGCACUGUUGCCAGUGUCAAGUAGAUUGAUAGUAACAACACGCUCAUUGCCAUCAUUGUAGCUCCAGUGAACCACACCCUGCGGCAAAGCAAUGAUGUCACCCUGGCGGAACCGUCGGACUUUCUGGUGCUGGUCCUGGAACCUGCCACGGCUUUGAUGCUGCCAUUGCUGUGAAUCCUGGAAUGUUUCGGCACAUCCAGGCAUCACAAUACCUUGAAUACCUCUUCCUGAAAAAACAAAUUUAAACAUCAUUUUGUAUUUUAUACCAACGAUAAUAACACCAUUAGUGACGCACUAUUAUACCUUGGACAAUGUAGAGAAGCUGAGGAGCAUUGGUGAAGGAAGGCAAAACAAGGCCAUUAG
rnacentral:lncRNA from 1 species